UAUUAGCUAAAUUUGUGCCAGCAGCUGCGGUUAAACAAAAAAUACAAAUGAAUUUUAUAAAUAUUUAAGUUAAAUUGAAUUUAUUUAAUUAAUAAAAAAAUUUUAGGUGAAAUUUUAUUUUUUUAAAAAAUUAAUAUAAAAAAUUAUAUUGAAUCUGAAAAAUUUUAUUUUUAAACUAGGAUUAGAUACCCUAUUAUUUAAUUAUUUAAAAAAAAUAUAAAGAUUAGAGUAGUAAUAGUUAUGGUCUUGAAACUCAAAAAAUUUGGCGGUAUUUUAGUCUAUUCAGAGGAACCUGUAAUUUAAUCGAUAAUCCACGAUGGAUCUUACUUAAUCUUGUAUUUUAAUUUGUAUAUCGCCGUUAUUUGAAAAUUUUAUAAGAAAAAUAAUUUUCUAAAACUUUUAUUAAAAAAUAAAUCAGGUCAAGGUGCAGUUUAUGAUUAAGUUUUAUAUGGGUUACAAUAAAUAUAUUUAUACGAAUUAAAAAAUGAAAUAUUUUUAAGAAGGUGGAUUUGAAAGUAAAUUUUUAAAGAUAAAAAAAUUGAUUUUAGCUCUAAAAUAUGUACACAUCGCCCGUCACUCUUGUUAAUAGUAUAAGAUAAGUCGUAACAUAG
rnacentral:rRNA from 1 species